GAUGAACGCUAGCGGCAGGCUUAACACAUGCAAGUCGAGGGGCAGCAUAAUGAAGUAGCAAUACGGAAUUGAUGGCGACCGGCGCACGGGUGCGUAACGCGUAUGUAACCUACCUCUAACAGGGGGAUAACACUGAGAAAUUGGUACUAAUACCCCAUAACACUUCGGAGGGCAUCCUCUGGGGGUUGAAAGUUCCGGCGGUUAGAGAUGGACAUGCGUUGUAUUAGCUAGAUGGUGAGGUAACGGCCCACCAAGGCGACGAUCAGUAGCCGGCCUGAGAGGGUGGACGGCCACAUUGGGACUGAGACACGGCCCAAACUCCUACGGGAGGCAGCAGUGGGGAAUAUUGCACAAUGGGGGAAACCCUGAUGCAGCGACGCCGCGUGAGUGAAGAAGUAUUUCGGUAUGUAAAGCUCUAUCAGCAGGGAAGAAAAUGACGGUACCUGACUAAGAAGCCCCGGCUAACUACGUG
rnacentral:rRNA from 1 species